GCCGUCGUGGGCCAUGGUGGCCGCCCUCUCGAUUUGAGUGUGUCUUGAAAUAAUUGGAAUGAGGAAGACGGGGGUUCGAAUCCUCCCGACGGCA